rnacentral:lncRNA from 1 species
UUCUUUGUUUGAACUAAUGCAAUACUGUUGAGCAGUUUACAGGCAUAAAAGUUCUAAAUGCUUGUGAUUCACUGGAUAUAUUAAUGAAACUUACCUUCUUUUUGGUUUCCAUGAUGUCAGGUCUCAGCUGAAUGAAGAACAUGGCAACAAAAUGCAGAAACAAUCGAGAAAAAAGAACCCUAAACCAUAUGUUUAAAGCGAACUCGGUAGAACAAAGCAAGCAUUAUAGCAGGAAAACAUAUGGGUGUUCGUGUAUUUGUACUUGUUUGGAGUAUUCCUGGGGUCUGAUCCUUGCUCUGUUCAUCAUCUCAUCCUUCCUCGCCCGCACAUCACCGAGGACCAUGUUUGCAUCAAUCAAAGCGUUCAGUGGUUUGUGAUGGAAACAGAGCUAAGCUUUUGCACGCACCCGGUUUGCCAUUCCAGAUGAGCAACAAAGAGACACCAUCCGAGUACAGAUGCCACAGGUUGCUAAUUUACAGGGUGGCGAUCGAGCUGCGGCCUUCGCAUCGGAAACAAGAAUUUGGGGGACGAGACGAGGGCUCUGCUCCUUCGGACCGAGAGAAGAGCAGCAAAAGAUACACCGUGUGAGUGGAGAUGCCAUGGAGGGUUGCUAUUUACAGGGUGGGUGGCGAUCGAGCUCCGGCCUCGAUCUGCCAUUCCUCUGCUUCGCUUCUUCCCGGAAACAAGAUUUUGCGCGACGGGACGAGAGCUCUAGUGCUAUAGACCGAGAGAUGAGCAACAAAGAAACACCACCUGAAGUGGAGAUGCCAUGGAGGGUUGGUCGUUGUAGGGUGGCGAUCGAGCUCCGCCCUCGAUCGGUCAUUCCUAUGCUUCGCUUUUUAUCGGAAACAAGAAUUCGGGGGACGAGACGAGAGCACUUCUCCUAUGGACAUCGGGAUGAGAGUUGGUACCUACGGGGCGACGAUCGAGAAACCGCCUCGAUCUGCCAUUCCUCUGCUUCGCGUCUUCUCAGAAACAAGAAUUCGGGGUGGGGGACGAGACCAGAGCUCGUCUCCUACAGGCCGAGAGAGAGCAACACGGAAACACCAUCUGGGUUGGUAGCGAUCGAGCACCGGCCUCGAUCUGCUAUUCCUCUACUUCGCUUCUUCUUGGAAACAAGAACUAGGGCAACGAGACGAGAGCUCUUCUCCUGUACACCAUCUGCGUGCAGAUGUCAUCGAGGGGUUGGUUGUUAUAGAGCGGGGGGCGACGGAACUCCAGCUUUGGUG